GCUCAAAGAAUGCCACCCUACAUCAAAGUAGGAGAAAAGCUGCUGCAAUAGUGGCACUGACCUUCCGAGGAAGCCAUUCUGCUCUAUUUGGUUCUCUCUCCAGAAGUUAGGAGAACUUUGCCAGCUGUUUACAUACUUCAAGAUGCACUGCUACCCUACUCAUGCCAUAUAAUACACAAUGCCAUCUACCAAAUAUUACCCUUCCCCAAAGAAGCACAGAAAACUGGGUCUUCAGCAUGAUCAAGCAAUGUGAACACACAAAAGGAAGGCAGCUUUAUAAAUGACCCGAGGAUCAACAUGCCUGACUGCAGCAUCUUAAAAGCAAUAGAAUGAGGUAAGUCACUAGCAUUGCAGUCUUCUGAGGAUUUGCAUUUGCUGGAAGAUGGUGCUGGGUGGAGAGCAUCUAAUGUGAUAAUGUG
rnacentral:lncRNA from 1 species